rnacentral:lncRNA from 1 species
UGCUCAACCUACCCCAUGCAUUCCACUCCUAUAUCCAGAACUUCCGAAGAGCCGAUAUACCAAUUAGCAGUAAAGUGCUCACAAAAUGAAUCAAAACGCAAAAUAAUCAAAACUCAAAGAAUACAUACCAAGAAACAUUUCACAAAUAAAAUCUUAAACAUCAAACCCAAUAUACCCAGUAAUGCAAUUAACAGUAAAUUACUCACAAAAUGAAUCAAAACGUAAAACAAAUUAAAGCUCAAAGAAUCCAGAUCAAGAAACAUUAUACAAAUAAAAUCUAAAAUAACAAAUUUCAAUGAUGCAAACUCAACUCAAUACCAAAGAAAUUUCUCUACACAAAUAUACAACUACCAUAAGAAAACUCGUAAUUGGAACAGAUUUGGAGAAAAAACAAGAAGCAUGUGCUAGUGAGAAGACCCAAAAACGACAUCAGGUUCUAUGGUUGCAGGAGUGAAACUAACCAUCCUAUAUCAUUUAUGUUCUGAAUCGCAAUAGUUGAGAAGAAGAAGAAGAUGAAACGAGGUCUGUCUCAUUUACGCUCUCAAUGGAUUGUGGGAUGGCCAUGAGGAGGGAGAAAGCAAAAUGGGACAUGUACAAAGAAUGAUUGUGAGAUUGGAGGGUUUGCAGAACAUAAGAGAGAGAAGAGAAGAAGAAGAAGAAGAAGAAGAAGAAGAAGAAGGGGGAGGGGGAGGAGGAGGAGGAGGGAGAAAGCAAAAUGGUAGAAUGUACAAAGAAUGAUUGUGAGAUUGGAGGGUUAGCAGAACAUAAGAGAGAGAAAAUAACGCUAGGGAUUUGAGGGAGAAGGCCAAAAGGCAAAAUGGGAGGGCGGCUCGGUUUCGGUUUGGUUUUGCCAUUAAUUUUAAUUAAUAAAUCAAACCGAAUUAAAAAUUAAAAAAAAAUUUAAAAUAAUAACCGAACAAAAUUGACUAUACUUAAAAAUCAAAUUAAAAUAAAAAAUCAGUUUAAUUUAUUUUAAUUUUUUUAUUGAAAUUAAAAACUGUUCAAUCCUUC